UUACGGUCAUCUCAACUUGAAACACCGAUUUUUAUCCGAUCAUCGAAGUUAAGCAACGUUGAACCUUGUUAGUACCUAGAUGCGUGGCCACUCAGGAAUACCAGGUGCUGAA